rnacentral:rRNA from 1 species
GUAGUCCUGGCUGUAAACGAUGUCGACUUGGAGGUUGUGCCCUUGAGGCGUGGCUUCCGGAGCUAACGCGUUAAGUCGACCGCCUGGGGAGUACGGCCGCAAGGUUAAAACUCAAAUGAAUUGACGGGGGCCCGCACAAGCGGUGGAGCAUGUGGUUUAAUUCGAUGCAACGCGAAGAACCUUACCUGGUCUUGACAUCCACAGAACUUUCCAGAGAUGGAUUGGUGCCUUCGGGAACUGUGAGACAGGUGCUGCAUGGCUGUCGUCAGCUCGUGUUGUGAAAUGUUGGGUUAAGUCCCGCAACGAGCGCAACCCUUAUCUUUUGUUGCCAGCGGUCCGGCCGGGAACUCAAAGGAGACUGCCAGUGAUAAACUGGAGGAAGGUGGGGAUGACGUCAAGUCAUCAUGGCCCUUACGACCAGGGCUACACACGUGCUACAAUGGCGCAUACAAAGAGAAGCGACCUCGCGAGAGCAAGCGGACCUCAUAAAGUGCGUCGUAGUCCGGAUUGGAGUCUGCAACUCGACUCCAUGAAGUCGGAAUCGCUAGUAAUCGUGGAUCAGAAUGCCACGGUGAAUACGUUCCCGGGCCUUGUACACACCGCCCGUCACACCAUGGGAGUGGGUUGCAAAAGAAGUAGGUAGCUUAACCUUCGGGAGGGCGCUUACCACUUUGUGAUUCAUGACUGGGGUGAAGUCGUAACAAGGUAACCGUAGGAGAACCUGCGGCUGGAUCACCUCC